rnacentral:lncRNA from 1 species
CUGCUCUCCCUUCUUGAGUGAGCACGGAGCCCCAGCGCGCUGGAAUGGAUCCCCAAUAAAUCCCCUUCUGCAAUUGCAUGAGUCAGUGUCUUGGUGGUCUCUUCCUCCGACGCUUCGCCGGACCCUUACGCUUGAACUUUCAAGACCCUGCCUCAGCCUCCCAAGUCACUGAGAUUACAGGUAUGCACAAUGCCCUACUAUCUUUAUCAUUCUUUAAGA